rnacentral:rRNA from 1 species
GACGAACGCUGGCGGCGUGCUUAACACAUGCAAGUCGAACGGAAAGGCCCUGCUUUUGUGGGGUGCUCGAGUGGCGAACGGGUGAGUAACACGUGAGUAACCUGCCCUUGACUUUGGGAUAACUUCAGGAAACUGGGGCUAAUACCCGAUAGGAGCUCCUGCUGCAUGGUGGGGGUUGGAAAGUUUCGGCGGUUGGGGAUGGACUCGCGGGUUAUCAGCUUGUUGGUGGGGUAGUGGCUUACCAAGGCUUUGACGGGUAGCCGGCCUGGGAGGGUGACCGGCCACAUUGGGACUGAGAUACGGCCCAGACUGCUACGGGAGGCAGCAGGGGGGAAUAUUGCACAAUGGGCGGAAGCCUGAGACAGCAACGCCGCGGGUGGGAUGACGGCCUGCGGGUUGUAAACCGCUUUCGCCUGUGACGAAGCGUGAGUGACGGUAAUGGGUAAAGAAGCACCGGCUAACUACGUG